ACGAACGGAUCGAUAGGGGGGAGUACGAAGAUGAACGGUGAGGGCAGCUUGGUCCCGACGCCUGCGUGCUCUGCUCUCCUUUGUCGUCUUCUCUCUUGCGUCUGUUCACCUCGUCCGCCAUUAAUGGAUGUCUGCGAGCCUUGCUCCCCACGUAUAUACCGCGUAAGAUGCACGCGAGGGUAAAAUGCAAUAUGAAUAAAAAAUAUGGAUUAGUUUAGAUAAAUGAGAAGGUGAAAGGAUGAGUGCGAUUAAAUGUAAUCGCGGACUCCGACUACUGUCGCCAAAGAGGGUCGCUGCCUCUAGGGUAGAGCUGGACGCUCAGCCUUGUCUCGCCGCCGCCGGGAGGAAGGCGAUCGGUCCCUCUUCGUUGUCUGUUGACAGGCGGAUUCGAGGCGGACUACAACGACGCCUUGAAGCGUGCACGAAAGCCCAGAAUCGAUCCAAAGUCCUCCAGCUAAAUCUUCAGGGAUCAACAACAACUUGCAUCACCUCAUUCUAGAUCAGAGGAGCUGAUUCACAAGGGAGAGAGAUCCGGGGAUCAUGGCUGUAUGCAAGUGGUACGAAGAGCCAAGAAAUCAAGAGCAUGAACGUGGCUACAGUCAGUAUGACGGGUCACAGUACUAGAAACACUAUGAUCAUCCUCUGCCCCAAAACCUUGCUGACUCUGAAAAUUUGGAGCGGUUAAGGAGACAUGACACAAAUGCUUACGAGUAGGUGUUCCAUUACAAGUCUUAGCCUGAUUACUAUUAAAAUAUUAAUAUGGGUUAACCAAUCUUGAUCAAUGCAAGAAGGGUGAGGCAGUAGGAGAUGCUGUUAACUUGAUGUAUGGGGUUAGAAUCUUAGUAUAAUUGAGGUAAAUGACUCUCUCAUGCGCUAGUCAUUAUUCUAAGAUUAGUGGUCAUUUGUGAUUUA